rnacentral:rRNA from 1 species
GGUAAUUACGUGGCAGGGGCGGCGGUAAUAGGUAGGGGGCAAUCGUUAUCCGGAAUUAUUGGGCGUAAAGCGCGGGCAGGUGUGUGUUUAAGUCUGAGGGGAAAGCCCACGGCUCAACCGUGGAGGGUCAUUGGAAACUGGGAGACUUGAGUGCAGAAGAGGAAAGUGGAAUUCCAUGUGUAGCGGUGAAAUGCGUAGAGAUAUGGAGGAACACCAGUGGCGAAGGCGACUUUCUGGUCUGUAACUGACACUGAGGCGCGAAAGCGUGGGGAGCAAACAGGAUUAGAUACCCCAGUAGUC